UACAGAGACUGCAAGCGUUAUUCGGAUUCACUGGGCGUAAAGGGUGCGCAGGCGGCCGUGUGUGUCAGGUGUGAAAGCCCGGAGCUUAACUCCGGAAUUGCGCCUGAAACUACAUGGCUAGAGCAUUGGAGAGGGUAGCGGAAUUCACGGUGUAGCAGUGAAAUGCGUAGAUAUCGGGUGGAACACCAGUGGCGAAGGCGCCUGUCUGGCUGACAACUGACGCUGAGACUCGAAAGCAUGGGGAGCAAACAGG
rnacentral:rRNA from 1 species